rnacentral:lncRNA from 1 species
GAAGUUUCAGCUUCCUCUGCUGAGCAUCCAGUCUAGCACUCACAUCAGUAGCACGGCGGUGGUCAGAACCCUUCAAAGCAGAAGCCUGAGAGAGCAAGAACAGAAAGUUUUUGUUAAAUAAAACCAGUUUCUGCAAUGCAAUUGUUUGAAAGGCAUAAACAAUGAAAAUGAAUUCAUAAGAGUACUUACAGCCUUUUGGACAGCCUCAUUAGUCACUCUUGGGGAGGACUUCCUUGAAGCCUGAGCUGAGGCAUUGUCAGAGAAGAAUGCCUGAAAAUAACCAUAAUCAAUGAGUGAUGCAGUGUUCAUAUGAUCAAAAGGUAUAAACUUAAAUGUAAGUUUAGGGAAGCUAAGACUAAAACAGACUUGAGCAGCAAACAAAUGUUGAUGAAACUCCAAACCAACUCAGAUAAGCUAAACUGUUUCCCAAGUGAUUGAGUUUUAUCAUCUAAAUUUUCAAUACUGCAAUUACUCAGCCAAAUUUCUAACCCCACCACAACAGAGACUAGUUGUUCUAACAAUACCAUCAUUGACAUCCAUUGAAUAUUUAAAAAACCACAAUAAACUGUCAGUUUUUACAAUUAGAUAUUUAGAAGCAAUUAAAGAACGAGAACAAAGGAUACCUCCUCUUUGUGACCAGCCAAUGCCUUGGCCAAGGCAUUCACUUCAACAAUCUUCUGGGCAGCAAAUGCAAGCCAUGAUUUAAUUUCCUGGUCUAGCUUAGGCUCGUUAAUUAGAUCAACAGCAGUGUGGAGAAGAGAGCAGGAGGUGGAGACCACAAGUUUGUCUACACGACAACAAGAACAUCAGUUCUAGCACAAAUCAACUUGGAUAAAGGAAAUCAUUUACUUCCAUAUCACAAGUACAAUCACAAGAUAAUGUCAAAAAGAAUACCCUUGCCCACAAUGCUCUCAAGCUCCUGUAGGACGCUAAGAGAUGCAGCAAGAUCAUUAGCCCAAAUGUUCCUUCCAUCAACCACUCCAGCAAAAAGGUAUUUUCCUGUAGGGAAUCCAACCUUGAUCAAAUCAAGGGUCUUGGUUCCGCGAACCAAAUCGAACCCAAAGCCAGUAACACCCUUCAAGGAAGUGAGGGUCUUG